GUACACUCCUGCGGGAGGCAGCAGUGGGGAAUUUUGGACAAUGGGCGAAAGCCUGAUCCAGCCAUGCCGCGUGCAGGAUGAAGGCCUUCGGGUUGUAAACUGCUUUUGUACGGAACGAAACGGCCUUUUCUAAUAAAGAGGGCUAAUGACGGUACCGUAAGAAUAAGCACCGGCUAACUACGUGCCAGCAGCCGCGGUAAUACGUAGGGUGCAAGCGUUAAUCGGAAUUACUGGGCGUAAAGCGUGCGCAGGCGGUUAUGUAAGACAGUUGUGAAAUCCCCGGGCUCAACCUGGGAACUGCAUCUGUGACUGCAUAGCUAGAGUACGGUAGAGGGGGAUGGAAUUCCGCGUGUAGCAGUGAAAUGCGUAGAUAUGCGGAGGAACACCGAUGGCGAAGGCAAUCCCCUGGACCUGUACUGACGCUCAUGCACGAAAGCGUGGGGAGCAAACAGGAUUAGAUACCCGAGUAGUCCCA
rnacentral:rRNA from 1 species